ensembl:lncRNA
UGAACAACUGCUGCAGGUUAUAUGUUUGUAGUUAGAAUGUGAGACUGGCAAACAUGUGAUCUGUUAUUACUUUUAAUCAUUUUCAUGAUGAUUUUGUUUGUGUGCAGAUGGCUCUCCUGUGCUGGAUGGCAGUGGUGCUGGCUUUCUUCCUGUCUGCUGAUAACAGUGUGGAUGCUGUGGACAGCAGCAGGCUUGCAACACUUGUAAAUGGCAUCUUGAGAGAGUACGGAACACCUGGCAUGUUCAGUCUGGCUGUAAGUAUCCCAGAUGACCAGAACCGGAACAUUGAGGAUAUCCUUCAGGAAGUCUUCCUUAGUGAUCCUGGUGACGACGUGAAGAAUAACAACAAAAACGAGGUGUACGUGGGCAGCAGGGUUGUUGCAGCCAAAGUUCUGAAACGGCCCAAUAGAGGAGCGGAUCAUGCAGAGUCACGCGUUGUGGACCAUCUGAGCAGAUUGUUCAAGAAGAAUAAUCGCGAUGAUUUCUUGCUUUUCUAUGUUUAUGCCUCCCCAUGUGUUGAAAAAUGUUCAAACGACACACAUCACGAGAGCAUCCUCAGAAGGAUUAAUGCCAUACGGGAAUGGAAAAGUUACGCUGUUGUGUUUUCUAAAAUAUUUAAACCCAAAAAUGGUCAGGCCAAUACUGAGCAAGAGCUGAGUGGAGCUCUUCAGCGACUCGGGACGUACCAGGGUACCAAAGGUCAAAUCGGUCUAAACAACAUAUUCCGUUGUGACAAACGAAAUAAUUGGAUGCAGUGCAAUAGCUGCCUCAGUGGUAAUCAAGUUCAACAGUAUUGUAUUUCAGAUCCAAAGACUGGCAGCAGCCAAAGCCAGUCAUCCACUUCAUUCAUACAGCCUCAACAAGGCGGAGGUGGUUCCUCCUCACAAAGAGGUGGAAGUCAGGGUGGCAGAGGAAGGGGUGGCAGAGGUCAGGGUGGCAGAGGUCAGGGUGGCAGAGGAAGGGGUGGCAGAGGUCAGGGUGGCAGAGGUUAGGGUGGCAGAGGUCAGGGUGGCAGAGGGAAAAGAGGCAACAUUCAUUACACAGGCUACGGUGUUAACCUCGACUAAAGCAGACUCCUUUUGAUUAAUAACAAGACUAAAGGGCCUUUUCCAUUUCCAAGUUUGUACAUCUUUGAUUCCUUUCCUUGCAUCCUCUUCAAGGCAAGGACACCAGCAUAACAAAGAAAAGAAGUAUCUGUGCCUCUGAGCUGCCAUUUUAAAGUGACAUCAAUUAAGUAUGACGAGAGGCACAGCUGCAUCAUCUAUCUAUUGCUUGUUAUAUCUCUGAAGCGUUCAGAUCCUUUACUUACGUAAGAGUUCAAUGAUCGGGGGGCUGCAGCUGCGGUAUCGAGGUCCCGCCUGCACACCAUGUCAAAAGUCUGGAGCUCUGAAUGAGCAGGAAUCACUUCAUGAUGUGAAUGUGAAAGCUGCUCAUUUAAUUCUGAGUAAAAGGUUUUGGUACAAUUCUAUUAUAUUUGGCUUACAGGAGACACACUCUUACUUUGAUGCACAGAUUUGAACAUUAGCAGGAAUGUAUCACAACAAGUGAAAGCAGUCAUCUGUUUAUUUGAAUGUGAAAUUGCAAUAAACAUAUUUUGUCUCUUAAAUCAAUGAAUACUGGUGAUCUCAAUGUUGAUGGUGAUACUAAUCACAGAGCGUAUGUGUUUGUUACAUUUUAAAGCAGACUCAAAUAACAUCCAGCUGUCUUGCUUGUGUGUGCAGUAAGAGUGGAAAGAUUAGUUUAGUUUUUGGCCCCCAUUGAAAUCUGAAAAUUUAUCAAAGAAAUACACAUAC